rnacentral:rRNA from 1 species
UGGAUCAUGUUGUUUAAUUCGAUGAUACGCGAAGAACCUUACCAGGUCUUGACAUCCCAUGCAAAGCUAUAGAGAUAUAGUGGAGGUUAUCAUGGAGACAGGUGGUGCAUGGUUGUCGUCAGCUCGUGUCGUGAGAUGUUGGGUUAAGUCCCGCAACGAGCGCAACCCUUAUUGCUAGUUACCAUCAUUCAGUUGGGGACUCUAGCGAGACUGCCAGUGAUAAACUGGAGGAAGGUGGGGAUGACGUCAAAUCAUCAUGCCCCUUAUGACCUGGGCUACAAACGUGAUACAAUGGCUGAAACAAAGGGCAGCGAAGCAGUGAUGUGAAGCGAAACCCAAAAAAGCAGUCCCAGUUCGGAUUGAAGUCUGCAACUCGACUUCAUGAAGUCGGAAUCGCUAGUAAUCGCGAAUCAGAACGUCGCGGUGAAUACGUUCUCGGGGUUU